CCCAUUGCGGCUCCCCAUUACGUGACCCAAAACCCCUAACACAGUCUCAAAUCAAGCCUGUUUGGAGAAAGUAAAAAAAUCUGGAGAAAACGUAAAGAAUCGAAUGCGCGAAGAAGAAGAAGGCUGAUAUGAUUGAAAGCGACACCCAAAAGAUCGAUAAGGAGAAGGUUACUUGAAAGCUGGAGAAGAUUUAGACAUGGUCGACAACGUGCUCGAAGUGAAAAACGAAGGAUGGAGAUGAAAUCCCUCAUUACGGGGCUUUCCUUUGCUUUUCCUAUUCCUAGCCAGUAUACAGAUUGCAUUCAUGAUAGAGAAGGAUGUUUGGACUGAAUUGGGUCGUCCUUGUGGGAUACAUCAAAAGCAGGUAUUGUUGAUGUGAUGUCUAAAUGCCAAGUUGCUUGGGUCGUCCUUCUGGUAGAGUUAUACGUUUUGCAUGAGGUAAAUAAUUGCACGCACAAGAUUACACCAAGUACAAAGUGGGAGCAUGUAAAGGAAAUUCUUGGGGACUGUGGUCGAGCUGCCAUCCACACACAAGGUUCUACAAGCAAUCCGUUUGGAUCUACUUUUGUAUAUGGUUAACAAAACAUUGCACUUGAGGUGAUGAAGAAUGGUUACAUUGCAACAGUGAGUCUCUUUCAGUCAUGAUGGUGAUAAAAUGGUUGAAUUGAAGGCAUCCAGAAAAGCUGUUGCUGCCACAACUUCUACCUGUACCAAAGUUGCUGCUGCCACAAAUUCGAAGUCCACCAAAGCUGCUGCCACUGCCACAUCUACCUCAACAACCACAAGGCCUCCUACAUCCGGUAAAGUAUCAAAGGACCAAGCUUCAACACCUUCCAAAUCAUCUCAGAGGAUUAGGCAGAAUUCCAAACAAGGGGGAAAGUAAGAGGAACUUUGAGGAAUGAUAAGCAAGCCUAGCAUUUUUCAUUUUUUGUGCAACCUUGGUGUGUGCUACCUAGGUUGCUGGCUCUAAUUUUUUGGGAGGAUGAUUAGAGCUAUUUGAAAGGCAAACAUUUGAGCUGCUUAUUGUUUGGGUAUUUUAAGAAUGAUGUUGCUAAACUUCAAAUGAAGAGUGGGUGUUGCUUUCGGAAUCAAUAGCAGAUUGGUACUUUGAAAUGUAUAUUGAUUACUUUGAAGUCAAAGUUGUUACUUUGAUAUGUUUAA